rnacentral:rRNA from 1 species
GCGUACCGAACAAAAGUAGGGAAGUUGGUAUAGGGGCUGUCAAGAAAAGCCGCUAUUGUGUAAUACGUGCCCGUACCGUAAACCGACACAGGUGGAUGAGGAGAGAAUCCUAAGGCCGGCGGGAGAAGCAUUGUUAAGGAACUCGGCAAAAUGACCCUGUAACUUCGGGAUAAAGGGUGCCCACGAGAGUGGGCCGCAGAGAAUAGGCUCAAGCAACUGUUUAGCAAAAACACAGGUCUAUGCAAAACCGAAAGGUGAGGUAUAUGGGCUGACGCCUGCCCGGUGCUGGAAGGUUAAGAGGAGAGGUUAGAGCAAUCGAAGCUUUGAAUUUAAGCCCCAGUAAACGGCGGCCGUAACUAUAACGGUCCUAAGGUAGCGAAAUUCCUUGUCGGGUAAGUUCCGACCCGCACGAAAGGCGUAAUGAUUUGAGCGCUGUCUCGACAAUGCACCCGGUGAAAUUGAAGUACCAGUGAAGAUGCUGGUUACCUGCGCCAGGACGGAAAGACCCCAUGGAGCUUUACUCCAGCUUGAUACUGGGAUUCGGUGUCGCAUGUACAGGAUAGGUGGGAGGCAAUGAAGGCAGGACGCCAGUCUUGCCGGAGCCAUUGUUGGGAUACCACCCUUGCGAUAUUGGGUUUCUAACCUGCGGCCAUGACCUGGCCGGGGGACAAUGUCAGGUGGGGAGUUUGACUGGGGCGGUCGCCUCCGAAAGAGUAUCGGAGGCGCUCAAAGGUUCCCUCAGAAUGGACGGAAACCAUUCGAAGAGUGCAAAGGCAUAAGGGAGCUUGACUGCGAGACUGACGGGUCGAGCAGGUACGAAAGUAGGACUUAGUGAUCCGGUGGUAUAAAGUGGGAUUGCCAUCGCUCAACGGAUAAAAGCUACCCUGGGGAUAACAGGCUUAUCACUCCCAAGAGUUCACAUCGACGGAGUGGU